rnacentral:lncRNA from 1 species
CUGGUGAAUGAGAGCGAGGGAGGGAGAGAUAGGCAGAAGGAACUUGUUGCCCCUGGUUGGUGUUGUGUAAGACUUGGCUGGCUGUAGCAGAAUAACACUCUUAUUCUCUCAGUGCUUUGAACUCUGGUACCCUACAGCUCCGACCACCCCUCUCUGCAACAGCAAGAACUCACACUAGGUGCCCCUCUCUCGCUCUCUCUCUCUCUCUCUGUCUAUUUCUCUCUCCCCUUUCCUGCUGUGUCGCACUUCUGUUUCUCUUCCCAUAAGUCGUACUUCUCUGCUCCCAUCUCAUUUGUCUUUUACUUUCUCCCACAUCUGCUUGUCUGCUUCAGAUGUGCUGUUGUACCUUUUUGCAUUUGAAGAAAGUUUGUUUUUUCUGUCCUGUUGGACUGAGAACAGGCGUGUACGGCUUCUUCAGCUGAGGGCAUUUCAAGACAAUGAAACAUCUAAACGUGAAGCUGAAAAGAACACCAGCUCAGAGUGUCGUCACAUGUGAUGCUACCGGCUCUUGAGUGUAACUCUCCACCAAACCACUCUACACUGAGUUAAUAGUUAGAUCAAUAGAUCUGGACUGCACAAGAGUCACAUAGCUGGAGGCAAGGAGUUUACAUGCUCAAUGCCACAAGAUUAGUGACCUACAAAUAGCCCAUAAACUUAAAUAUUUCUUACUCAUUUUAUGUCAUAAUAUUACUUUAUUUUAAAUUGAUCAGACACCCCACAAUCUCUUUAUUUCCAGAUUUAAAUUCCAUAUUUUCACUGUAGUCUCAGAUGUUUGGACCACAAUACAUUUUGGCGAUAAUGCUUUU